rnacentral:rRNA from 1 species
GGACCCGCACAAGUAGUGGAGCAUGUGGUUUAAUUCGGAGAUACGCGCAGAACCUUACCAACACUUGACAUGUUCGUCGCGACUUUAAGAGAUUAAAGUUUUCGGUUCGGCCGGACGAAACACAGGUGCUGCAUGGCUGUCGUCAGCUCGUGUCGUGAGAUGUUGGGUUAAGUCCCGCAACGAGCGCAACCCUCACUUUUAGUUGCCAUCAUUAAGUUGGGCACUCUGAAAGAACUGCCAGUGAUAAGCUGGAGGAAGGUGGGGAUGACGUCAAGUCCUCAUGGCCCUUACGUGUUGGGCUACACACGUGCUACAAUGGCCGAGACAAAGAGUCGCAAGUUUGCAAAGACAAGCUAAUCUCAUAAACUCGGUCUCAGUUCGGAUUGUAGGCUGCAACUCGCCUACAUG